GUUGAUCAGGUGGAGGUCCUUGUUAACCAGGUGGAGAUCCUUGUUGAUCGGGUGGAGGUCCUUGUUAACUAGGUGGAGGUCCUUGUUGAUCAGGUGG